GACGAACGCUGGCGGCGUGCUUAACACAUGCAAGUCGAACGAAGUGGCGAACGGGUGAGUAACGCGUAAUCAACCUGCCCUUCAGAGGGGGAACACAGUUGGCAACGACUGCUAAUACCGCAUACUGAAGGAGGGGAUUGAGUCUGAGUAGCUAGUUGGAGGGGUAACGGCCCACCAAGGCGAUGAUCAGUCGCCGGUCUGAGAGGAUGAACUGCCACAUUGGGACUGGUACGCGUCCCGGACUCGUACGGGAGGCAGCAGUGGUGAAUCUUCCGCAAUUGACGAAAGUCUGACGGAGCAACGCCGCGUGAGUGAUGACGGCCUUCGGGUUGUAAAGCUCUGUUAAUCGGUACGCGGUACCGGAAUAGAAAGCCACGGCUAACUACGUGCCAGCAGCCGCGGUAAUAC
rnacentral:rRNA from 1 species